AUGUUGCGUGAGAGGUGUGGUCUUCGUGCUAGUGUGUAUGUGGAUGUGGAAGAAAAGGUUGCCAUGUUCUUGCUAGUAGUGGGUCACGGUCUGAAGAUGAGGUUGCUUCGAGGCACAUACAAGCGGUCUUUGGGAACUAUAAGUACUCACUUUUCCGCUGUGUUAAGAGCCAUUCUAUCUAUGCAUGGGGAGUUCAUUAAGCUUCCAGAUGCUAAUGUUCAACCUCCCGAUGACUACAAAUGGAAGUGGUUUGGUGAUGCACUAGGAGCAUUAGAUGGAUGUCAUGUAGAUGUUUCCGUUCCUGUGGCUUCCCAAGGGUGGUAAAGGAAUAGAAAGCAAGAUAUCACUACUAACAUGCUUGGUGUGGUGGAUUGGAACAUGAAAUUUAUGUAUGUCUUACCUGGCUGGGAGGGUUCCGCUUCAGACUCUAGAGUCCUACGCGGCUCCAUGAGAACUAAUCGCCAAGAUGCAUUUGUUGUACCUCAUGGUAUGGCUUUUUCUCUUGGCCUUUUGUUCUCUUAA
rnacentral:rRNA from 1 species